AACCUCUUGUAGGCGUGCAGGAAUUCUACAGUAGGAUGUUCUCACAGGACCUGGGGAGAUGUUCCAAUGAUGGUCCUUCUUGGGCUUCUUUGCAUGAUGGCAAGUACUGCUCCUCUGAUUCCUCUUCUUCCGGAACGCUACGAAUCAAUAGCUGACUUGAAGGGGUUUCCUUUAGCACAGAAAGGGGUCCUCGCACAUGCCGACCAUACAAUAGCUCAAACGGAGAGAAUCCAGUAGAUGCCU